rnacentral:rRNA from 1 species
GUACACAAAAAUGCACAUACUGUGAGCUCGAUGAGUAGGGCGGGACACGUGGUAUCCUGUCUGAAUAUGGGGGGACCAUCCUCCAAGGCUAAAUACUCCUGACUGACCGAUAGUGAACCAGUACCGUGAGGGAAAGGCGAAAAGAACCCCGGCGAGGGGAGUGAAAAAGAACCUGAAACCGUGUACGUACAAGCAGUGGGAGCCUCUUAAUGGGGUGACUGCGUACCUUUUGUAUAAUGGGUCAGCGACUUAUAUUCUGUAGCAAGGUUAACCGAAUAGGGGAGCCGAAGGGAAACCGAGUCUUAACUGGGCGUUAAGUUGCAGGGUAUAGACCCGAAACCCGGUGAUCUAGCCAUGGGCAGGUUGAAGGUUGGGUAACACUAACUGGAGGACCGAACCGACUAAUGUUGAAAAAUUAGCGGAUGACUUGUGGCUGGGGGUGAAAGGCCAAUCAAACCGGGAGAUAGCUGGUUCUCCCCGAAAGCUAUUUAGGUAGCGCCUCGUGAAUUCAUCUCCGGGGGUAGAGCACUGUUUCGGCAAGGGGGUCAUCCCGACUUACCAACCCGAUGCAAACUGCGAAUACCGGAGAAUGUUAUCACGGGAGACACACGGCGGGUGCUAACGUCCGUCGUGAAGAGGGAAACAACCCAGACCGCCAGCUAAGGUCCCAAAGUCAUGGUUAAGUGGGAAACGAUGUGGGAAGGCCCAGACAGCCAGGAUGUUGGCUUAGAAGCAGCCAUCAUUUAAAGAAAGCGUAAUAGCUCACUGGUCGAGUCGGCCUGCGCGGAAGAUGUAACGGGGCUAAACCAUGCACCGAAGCUGCGGCAGCGACACUAUGUGUUGUUGGGUAGGGGAGCGUUCUGUAAGCCUGUGAAGGUGUACUGUGAGGUAUGCUGGAGGUAUCAGAAGUGCGAAUGCU